CCUACGGGAGGCAGCAGUGAGGAAUAUUGGUCAAUGGACGCAAGUCUGAACCAGCCAUGCCGCGUGCAGGAAGACGGCUCUAUGAGUUGUAAACUUCUUUUAUAAAGGAAUAAAGUGAGGCACGUGUGCCUUUUUGUAUGUACUUUAUGAAUAAGGAUCGGCUAACUCCGUGCCAGCAGCCGCGGUAAUACGGAGGAUCCGAGCGUUAUCCGGAUUUAUUGGGUUUAAAGGGAGCGUAGAUGGGUUGUUAAGUCAGUUGUGAAAGUUUGCGGCUCAACCGUAAAAUUGCAAUUGAUACUGGCAGUCGUGAGUACAGUUGAGGUAGGCGGAAUUCGUGGUGUAGCGGUGAAAUGCUUAGAUAUCACGAAGAACUCCGAUUGCGAAGGCAGCUUACUAAACUGCCACUGACAUUGAUGCUCGAAAGUGUGGGUAUCAAACAGGAUUAGAUACCCCAGUAGUC
rnacentral:rRNA from 1 species